CUUCCGUAGGGGUAACCUGCGGAGGGAUCAUGACAGAAGCUACGCUCUACAACCCUUUGUGAACAUACCUAUAACUGUUGCUUCGGCGGGUAGGGUCUCCGCGACCCUCCCGGCCUCCCGCCUCCGGGCGGGUCGGCGCCCGCCGGAGGAUAACCAAACUCUGAUUUAACGACGUUUCUUCUGAGUGGUACAAGCAAAUAAUCAAAACUUUUAACAACGGAUCUCUUGGUUCUGGCAUCGAUGAAGAACGCAGCGAAAUGCGAUAAGUAAUGUGAAUUGCAGAAUUCAGUGAAUCAUCGAAUCUUUGAACGCACAUUGCGCCCGCCAGCAUUCUGGCGGGCAUGCCUGUUCGAGCGUCAUUUCAACCCUCAAGCUCUGCUUGGUGUUGGGGCCCUACAGCUGAUGUAGGCCCUCAAAGGUAGUGGCGGACCCUCUCGGAGCCUCCUUUGCGUAGUAACUUUACGUCUCGCACUGGGAUCCGGAGGGACUCUUGCCGUAAAACCCCCAAUUUUCCAAAGGUUGACCUCGGAUCAGGUAGGAAUACCCGCUGAACUUAAGCAUAUCAAUAGCCGGAGGAA
rnacentral:rRNA from 1 species